GGGGAUAUAGCUCAGUUGGUAGAGUGCUUACCUCACAUGUAGAAGGCCUGGGUUCAAUCCCCAGCAUUAUCA
rnacentral:tRNA from 1 species